rnacentral:rRNA from 1 species
UACAGAGGUCCCAAGCGUUACUGAGAAUCACUGGGUUUAAAGGGUGCGUAGGUGGUCCGUUAAGUCAGUUGUGAAAUCCCCGGGCUCAACCCGGGAACUGCUUCUGAUACUGGCGGACUUGAGGCCAGUAGGGGUCACUAGAACUGACGGUGGAGCGGUGAAAUGCGUAGAUAUCAGGAGGAACACCGGUGGCGAAGGCGGGUCUCUGGGCAAUAACUGACGCUGAGGAGCGAAAGCGUGGGGAGCGAACAGG